rfam:Pteropus alecto contig165963, whole genome shotgun sequence.
GGUUCCAUAGUGUAGCAGUUAGCACGUCUGCUUUACAUGCAGAAGGGCCUGGGUUCAUACCCCUGUGGAUUCA